rnacentral:lncRNA from 1 species
UGCAACUUCUCAAGCCUAAAGUACAAUAAUUCACAACAUAAUAACAAUCAAAUCAACACAAUCGACUAGAACUUUGAGCAAUUUUUUUCCAAACAAAUCAACACAGCCAACAAGAAUCAGAAUAUGAAGAUGAAGAAUCAACAAGAAACAAACAAACAAAUGACGUGAUUUUCUUUCUUCUUCGAUUCUCACUUCUUAAUUUUUUUCCAAACAAACCACAAGAAUCAAAUAACAAGAAUCUUUCUUCUUCGAUUCUCACUUCUCAAUUUUUUCAAACAAACAACAAGAAUCUAAUCACCAGUUGUUACAAAUUGAGUAAUCCUGAUAUCAUCAUCAUCUUCAACAACAACCAAAGCUCAAACACAGACAAACAGGUGAACGAAAAGCUUCAAGAACCGCCAGAAAUUCUGCAAAAAAGAAAAAAAAUAGUGCUUUUCAGGAAUAAUCUUCUUGUUGCUACCUCUUAGCUCUACAAUGGCAAUCAUAAUUGAAGAACCAGAUUCACCAACACCAACACCAAAGAAACAAUAAAAACCCCUUAAACCCACUUCAAGAACUCCUAAAUUAACCACCCCAACCCCCAUAAAAUCUUCCAAAACAACAAUGCAACAACUCCCUUUCCCAUGGUUGAUUUCUCAAUUAAUUCUUUUUUUUUAGAGUAGAUCGAAGGAAAGAAGAAAAGACAUGAAGCUUUUGUCAAUGGUGAACAUCUCUUUCUUUAAGUUUUUGCCAACGCGCUGCCGCCGCAGGAGUUGUUGAAAACAUAAUCCUACCAGUAAUGCAUUAACACAAAAAACCCCAACUGAUUUCCAUCAUAGUCCAUCGAAUUUGCAAAUUAGGGUUCCUUAUGAGAAACUUUUUGUCGACAACUGGAAACCACCACUAGCAAUAAUGGAACCAGUCCCAAAGGUGUAUCAUUAGGAGGACUUUGUUAGUAGAGAAAGGAUGGGAGAAUUGAGAGGUAUAGAGGGAAUCGAGGGAGAGAUGGAGAGGUGAGAGAGAGAUGGAGAAUGACGAGGGAUGAGAGAGAGAAAAAGGGGAAAUUGGUGAGGGUUCCUUUGUUUUUUCCUUUUUUUUUAAAUUUAUAUUUUUGGCUUACUUUUUAAAAAAUAAAUUUUGUUUUAAUUUAUCAUUUUAUUUUUAUUAUUGAUUAAUAAUUUUAAAAAUUAAUCAAUUAAGAUAUUAUGACAUGGAAUUUAAUGAAGCAUUUAAAAUGACAUGGAAAUGAUGUGGAAGCUGACGCGGCAGCAAUUGUAUUACACACACCGAAGUAGGACUUAAAAUGUUGCUUGUUAGUAGGUUCAAGGGUCCAGAUGUUAAACAUGUAAUUAGUGCCUACCAUUUAUUUAGCUAAAUUUAAAAUGUUUAUACCUUACCAAUCAUAUUUUGUUUAUUUCAAGAUAAAAAAAAUGUGACGAUAUAACUUUUAUAUAAGCAUGUAGAUCAAAUCUAUUUUACACGAUGAUGUUGACAUGAUAUGUCAUUUUUCUAUAACGUCUCGCAAAGUAUUAUUGUUGUUUGUUCCGGUCUCAAAUAAAUAAACCAUCUAAUCCAUAUUAAGUGAAUUGUUGGAAAUCUUUUUAUAGUUUAAAAUAGCUGAAUUUUUAAAUGUUCAAGAGAAAUGUUAGAAUUUUUUCAUUUUUAACCUUACCCUUUCUUUUAAGGAAAUUCAUAACUAUUUUUUAUUUUCUUGAAAAAUAUUUUGAAAAUAAUCAAUAAAGCAAUAGUAAAUAAUAACCUUUAAUUCAUAAUCUUAAAUAUAUUCUUUUGCUUAAUGAAUAUACUAUAUCCUAACAAUUCUCCUAAUAUGGUCUAGAAUAAUAUAUUUUUAACUUAAUUCAAUGAUAGGGGGAAAAUAAUUAAUUGCUGCCUAAUUUGUGUUUUCCCUCAAAAUACAAAAAAAAAAAUUAAAAAUAAUAAUAAUAAUAAUAAUAAUAAUAAUAAUAAAAAACCAUUAAACUCAAAUUGAAAAAUAACACUUUUCAUUUAUUAACAUUUUCAUUUUUUCUCUAUUUGUGAAAUGUGUAUGUGGCAAUAGGAAAUAAAAUACAGAAAAUAUCUUAUUUAAGCAACUACCUUGACUGUGUUUUUAUUUCUUUCCCCUAACAUUUUCCUAUUUAAGAACAUCUUCGCAAAUGUUUUCUCUCAUCCUGAUUAGAUUCAUAGACUAAAAAUUGUGCCAAGGGCAAAUAAAGUGCAAGGAGUUGUUGAGAAGGUGCAUUACCAUGAAGUUCAGAAGAGUUAGUCGGGGAGAUACACAUAAAGAUAUCGAUACUAAGAAAGAAUUAAUGGUUAGAAUUAAUGGUUAGGUACAUUCGACAUGGCAGAUCUGGCUUCAACGACAUAUGAUGAAACGUUGAUUAAGUUCCAUGGUGUCAGAGCAAAGACCAAUUUUCCGAUUCCGAUGGGCAAGAUGAAUUGGGAGUUAAGUUAGAUCAGUUCUAUAGAGUCAUUAAAUGCGGUGACUGUAGAGGUAUUGAUGGUUGAAUAGCCAACUAGAAUGGAUCUAACCCUCGGAAGCAGUUAGAUCCAUGUGGUGAUUCAACCAUCAAUGCCGCCACAAUCACCGCAUUAGAUGACUCUAUAGAACUGACCGAACUACCAGUCUUCGCCAAUCAAAAUUAGAAAAUAGGUCUUUGCUCAGACACCACGAAACUUAGUCCCCGCUGCAUCAUAUACAAUAACAGCCAACUCUACCGUGUCAAAUGAACCUAACCAUUUAUUCUUUCUUAGUAUCGAUAUCUCUAAUGUGUAUCUCCUUGACUCUUCUGAACUCCUCGGUAAUGCACCUUCUCGACAACUCUAUUCACUUUUUUUGCCCUUGGUGCCAUUUUCACUCGAUGAAUGUAAUUAGAAUGAGAGAACAUGUAGGGGAAUGAGGUGCUUAAAUAGGAAAAUGGUAGGAAAAACAAAGAAAACCGCAGUCAAGGGAGCUGCUUAAAUUUGAUAUUCUUCUGUAUUUUAUUUCCUAAUGCCAUAUAAGCAUUUCACAAAAAGAAGAAAAAGAAAAAAAAAAGGUCAAUAAAUGGAAAAUGCUAUUUUUCAAUUUGAGUUUAAUGUUUUAUUAUUUCUCAUAUUUUUGGAUCUUGAGGGAAAACACAAAAUAAGGCAGUAAUUAAUUAUUUUUCCUCUACCAUUAGAUUAAGUUAUGAAAAAGAUAUACUUUUUCUAGUCCUUAUUAAGUGAAUUGUUAGGAUAUAACAUAUUCAUUAAGGAAAAAAUAUAUACAUUUCAGAUUAUGGAUUAAAGGUUAUUAGUAUUACUUUUUUGGUCAUUCUCAAAAUAUUCUUCUAGAAAAUAUAGAAUAGGUAAGAACUUCAAUAAAAGAAAGGGUAAUAUGAAAAAGAUUCUAACAAGUCUCUUGAACCUUGAAAAAUCAGCUAUUUUGAACUAUAAAAAGAGUUCCAACAAUUCCUUUAAUAUGGAUUAGAAGAGUAUUUAUUUGAGACCAGAACAAAUAAUAAUUAUACUUUACGUUGCAUAAUAGCAAAUGACAUAUAAUGUACACAUCGUCGGAUAAAAUUGAUUUGAUCAUGGAGUUUCCAUGUCAAUGCAUAGGGUCAUUUAUGAAAUUGAUUAAAAUCUACAUCAUUUGACCUGAGUGAAGUAUCCCUGGCUAAAGAAAAUCCCCAACAGAUUUCUCUUAUUUGUUGAAUUUCUGCAGAAUUAUAGGCAGAGAGAGUAAAUAGAGGUGGUGGAAUGGAGAAAACCUACUCAAUGAUGGUAUAAAUGCAAUACUUAUGGCACUUCAAAAGGAAAUCCUGGGGCAAGUUCCAUAGCUUUUUGUAUUAGAAAUGAUGAGGUGAUCUGGUUUAUGCUUCAUGUAUAUAGAUUCAAGAAAAUACAAGCAUUUAUACAGAAGCACUAGCCAUGAUAGAAGGAUGUAGUUACUAUAUAUGUUGAGCAUCAUUUGUUGCCUUUAGAGAUUGAAACUGAUUCAUUUACACUGGCUAAGAUGGUGAAAGGGGAAUGGGAGGCUCCUUGGAGCAUAAUUGGAAUCAUUACAAGAAUUCAACAAAUGAUGGAGGAUGAAUUAAUCAAAGUACAAUAUAUCUACAAAGAAGGAAACUCACUGGCAGAUUGUUUGGCUAACUUGUGUUUUAGUUUUGCAGGUAAAGUUAAUUUUAACACUUUCAUGGAGAUACUAGGAAAACUAAGAUAACUACUAUACAAGAUAAGCAACAGAUUCCACAUAUUAGAGUCAGGAAGAUGAAACAACAAGCACCGGAUUAAGACAGGAUCUUAAUUCAUCACUCAAAACUUCCAAGGACAGUAAGGUAAUCACACAGGGGAGGCUCAAAAGAUUCAGAAAGUGUAAACACAAAAGCUGAUUUGGAAUGUACAGGUAAAUAAAGAGAUUUCAAAUGUUAUUAUGUCUUGUUGAUUUGCUUCAACUAAUGUUAAGGUGGUAUUAAGCUCUAAGAGGUUCAUUCCUUUGCAAAGGAAGAAGUAAAUCUACAAACUAGUAAUAUUCAUUUUGCUGGAAAAAUUGGAGAUUUAUCUAAAUGAAUUAACAUAAAUUUAAGUACUUGGAGUUAUAUUCCAUUGGAAUCGAUUACAGAACACCUGGUGUGAGAUUUAGGUGAGCUAAAGUGUAAUCGAUUCAAAGCUACUUACUAGAAUUAUGUUACAUUCGGCUAGAUAGAUCCAAUUUCUUAAUAAGAAGUAAGGGUAGCAUAUAUCAUAGCAAAGUUAGAAGGAUGAAAUGUUGAAUUCCAGAUUCAAAGAUGUUAAGAAGCUCGAACAACAACGAGUAUCUGACCGAAGUAAACAAAGAAGAUACUUAUCUUAGAGGUCUAGAGCUUCGAUGUGCAAUGGAGUUCACAACACUUCAUCAUCUUGGCAUUUCUAAAGCAAAUGGAAGUGGAGCUUUGAUGGAGAGAGAUGGAAAUGGAGCUGGUCGUUCUAAUUCUGUUUGCCCUAAUCUAGAUAUUUCCAUUUGUGUGUUUGUUUUGAUCAUGGACCGGGUCAAUAUUGGGCCUGGUUUGUAAAUAGCAAAAUUGGAUUUGUUUCUUUUUUAAAAAAAAAUUGGGCUACAAGCCCGCUUUUAUUUAAAAAAAAAACUGAUUUGAUCAACAUGCUUAUAGAACAAUUAUAUCGUAACAUUUUUCUAUCUUAUAAUAAACAAAAUACGGCUGGUUAGAAAUAAACAUUUUAAAAUUAGCUAAGUGAAUGAUAGGAAUUUAUUUUGAGCAUUUAGGAUAUAUUGGCAAAGAUCUCCGUCAUAAUUUAGAAAAAGAUCAAUUUUUCUUUUUUUUUUUUUUGGUCAACAAAGAAUUUUUACUUAUUUAAUAUGCAUCAUAGCAAAGCUGCGUUAGAGUACAUAAGAGGAGAUAGUUUGGCAGUACAAAAUCUACUACUAAUAUCCGGGAUCACGAGCCUAUUAGUUACAUCAAAAUAAGUUUCCUUUUUGUCUAUUUGAUUAGUCCUACAAAUAAACAAUGGGAGAAUUGUCCAUUCUUUAAAAAAAGUGUGCGAUUCCAUUUUUUUGCCCUCCUUAGCAAGCCUAUCCACAGCUAGCUUUGUCAAUCUCCCUUCAUGGAUGACCUGUGGAUCCCCCAGCUUCCGAAGAAGACCCCUGCAUAACAACAUUAGAUUAGUACUGGGAUUUGUAUCCUCAUUGCAUGCAGUUGCUAGCAUUACAGAAUCAGUAGCAAUACUAAUAUUAGAACAUUUUAAUUGAAGAGCCAUUUCCACGCCCAUUUAAAGGGCCAUAGUUUCUGCUUCAAGAGGAUUUUUAACACUUUUUUGUCCAUAAAGCCUCUAAUACAGUACCCCCUAUUAUCUCUGAAUAUACCCUGCGUUCCUCUCUUUCCUGAGUUGUAGUUGUAAGACCCAUCUAUGUUGAGUUUUAGGCCAUCUAUAGGAGGGGACCAUUGUUUCUUAACAUGGUUUUUCUUAACUGAAUGUUGCACUGCCAUGAAUUGAUAAUCUAUAGCUCUUUCAUAAGGCUCCCUGGUUGGAAUUUGCACAUAGUAAUUAUUAUAAAUAUUGUUGUUCCUAGCAAGCCAGAUAUUCCAUAAGUAAAAUGGGAAGGCGUCUUUUAAACUAAGACGUUUACCAAGUUUUAUAUCUUUCAUUUUACAAUAUUUUUUAUCCAAUCCUUGAUAUUCAUGGGCGAAUUACAUUCCAAGAUUUGAGCUAGAUUGGUUAUUCUCCAAAAAGCAACUACCCUAGGACAUUCUCUAAAUAUAUGGUAAAUGGUUUCAAUUUGGAUUUGUUAUUUUUCAUCUAAAAAAUAUGAAGGGUAAAGUAUUUUUAUUUUUUCCCCUGAUUAUGAAGAAAAACAGUAAAUUAAGCAACGAAGUGUAAAUUAUACUACCCCGCUGUAGAAUUAAUUUAUGAAGACAACAACAUCAACAUCAUCAACAACAUACCCAGUGAAAUCCCACAAGUUAAAUAUGGAGUGGGUAGAGUGUACGCGGACCUUAACAUUACCUCCAAGAGGUAGAGAUUUUGUUUUGAAAGACUCUCGGCUCAGGUGUAGUAAUGCUAGGUAAUCAGAAGAAGAAAAUAGUGAAAAAGUAUAUCAACUACUGAGGAAACAGUUCAAAUUCUAAAAGAACAAAAAAAUAAUCAAAGAAACUAGCAUGAUAAUUCAAAAACAAUAAAUGACAAACUAUCAUAGAUAUCACAAGUAGGGACCAACUCCACCUCAAUGUUUAUCACUAACACCCUAAACAACUAUACUACGUCUAGUGUACGAGAAACACCUAACAAGCCUAAAUCCUCAAAAAUCAACAUAAGACUCCUUUCUGACUAACCUUCCACUUUAAUAAAAAAUCUUCGCACCUCCUAUCUAAGGUUAUGUCCUCAUUAACUUAAAGUUAGGCCAUAUCCUGUCUAAUUAUCUCCCCUGAUACAUCUUCAAUCUAUUUCUACCUCUCUUCAUACAUACUAUAUGUUACCUUCCACUUCAGCCCCUGUGUUGACUUUGCCUAAUAGUACCGAUGGUUUUGUGGUGUAUUGUGAUGCCUCUAGAGUUGGUUUAGGUUAUGUGUUGAUGCAAAGAGUUAAGGUUAUAGCCUAUGCCUCUAGAUAGUUGAAGUUACAUGAACAGAAUUACCCAACCCAUGAUAUUGAAUUAGCUGAUGUGGUUUUUGCUUUAAAAAUCUAGAGACACUAUUUGUAUGGUAUUCAUAUUGAUAUGUUUACUUAUCAUAAAAGCCUGCAGUAUGUGUUUACCCAGAGAAAGUUAAAUCUUAGGUAGAGGAGGUGGUUAGGGUUGUUAAAAAACUAUGAUAUGAGUGUGUUACAUCACCCGAGCAAGGCCAAUGUAGUGGUAGAUGCCCUUAGCAGGUUGUCCAUAGAUAGUGUUAUGCAUAUGAAAGAAGGUAAGAAAGAAUUAGCUUGUGAUGUGCACCGUCUGGCUAUAUUGGGUGUUAGGUUGCUUGAUUCCGCUAAGGGAAGCACUUUGGUGCAAAGUAGUUUCGAAUCCUCCUUAGUUUCGGAAGUGAGGGAAAAACAAGACAGAGAUCCUAGUUUGGUCAGACUGAAGGGGUCAGUUAAAGACCAAAAGGUAGAGGUUUUCUUCCAAGGGGUAGAUGGCUUGUUGAGAUUGCAGGGUAGAUUGUGUGUUCCAUGUGUUGAUGAUUUGAGGCAGAGGAUUAUGGCUGAAGUGCAUGGUGCGCGGUAUUCUAUUCAUCCCGACGCAACCAAGAUAUACCGUGACUUGUGGGAAAUCUAUUGGUGAAGGAGUAUGAAGAAGAAUAUAGCUGAGUUUGUAGGAAAGUGCACAACGUGCCAACAUGUUAAAGUAGAACACCAAAGACCUAGUGGUGUGAUGCAAGAAUAUGGUAUACCCACUAAGAAGUGGGAAAAGGUGAAUAUGAACUUCAUGACUGGUUUACCUCUUUCGCGUCAUCAUUAUGAUUCUAUUUGGAUUUUUGUAGACAAGCUGACUAAGUCCGCAUAUUUAUUGCCCGGUCCAUACAUCUUAUACAGCUGAGAAUUAUGCUAGAUUGUAUAUCCGAGGGCUAGUCAGGCUGCACAAAGUUCUGUUGUCUAUCAUUUUGGAUAGAGGUACUCAAUUUACUUCUCAGUUUUGGAGUGUGUUUCAGCAGAAUCUUGGUACCCUAGUUUAUUUGAGUUCCACUUUUCAUCCGCAGAUAGAUAGUCAGGCUGAGAGGACCAUUCAGACUCUAAAAGAUAUGUUGAGGGCAUAUGCUCUUGACAUCAAAGGUACUUGGGAAGAGUAUUUGCCAUUGAUAGAGUUUGCUUAUAACAAUAGUUACCAUGCUAGCAUCAAAAUAACACCAUUUGAGGCUUUGUAUGGUAGAAGAUGUAGAUCACCAAUAGGUUGGUUUAAAGUGGGUGAAUCUACAAUGAUAGGACCUGAUGUGGUAUUCGAGGCUAUGGAAAAGGUGAAGUUGAUUAGAGAAAGAUUGAAGAUAGCUCAGAGUCGUCAAAAGUCAUAUGCCAAUGUGAGGAGAAGGGAUCUUGAGUUUGAGGUGGGUUAUUUGGUGUACUUAAAGAUUUCACCCAUGAAAGGGGUGAAGAGGUUUGGUAAAAAGGGGAAGCUUAGUCCCUGUAAUGUGGGCCCCUAUAGAGUCUUGAGUCGUGUUGGUAAAUUAGCCUAUGAAGUUGAGUUUCCCGCAGAGUUGUCAGCCAUUCAUCCUAUUUUUCAUGUCUCCAUGCUUAAAAAUCAUAUUGGUUAUUCAGUUUUAGUAGAUCCCUUAGAGAGUGCUGAUAUUCAGAACAGUUUUUCAUUUGAUGAGAUUUCUGUUGAGAUCCUAGAUUUUUGUAUCUAUAGACUAAGGAACAAAGAAAUUCCCUUGAUCAAAGUUUUAUGGCUGAACCAGUAUGUGGAGGGCGCUACUUGGGAGGCAGAAGCAGACAUGCGAGCCAAGUACCCACACCUCUUCUCCAUGAGUUCAAAUCAAUCCAAAGGUAUUAUUCUUCCUUAAUUCAACCCUUCUAAUCUAAAGUUGAGCUAUACAUCUAUUCUUACGUGAGUUCUUGUAAUUUUCGAAGUAUUUAAGAGUUUGGAAAGAUUUUAGGCUCGUUUAGCAAAUUUCUUCAGCUAUGUAUACUCAGCUUUUCCUGUGUUCAUAAACUAACUAGCAGCAUUCAAGGAUGAAUUUUACCAAGGGGGAUAUAUUGUAAGACCCCGCAAAAGUUCCCUCGUAGUCUGAGCCUUAGAGCAUAUAAAGUGAAGUGUAAUUCCAUCACUAAAAGAUUGAAAAGUGACUUCCUAAGUGAUUAGUGUUUUAACCUUGAUUGAAUUUUCCUAAAAAAGACAUUCUAUUGUGUGGGAAAUUGAAUUACCUUUCCAACGGUAUGAAUUUCAUCCAAAUCCGGUAUUGGGGCGAGAAGUUAUGGCCGUUUUACUAAGAGCAGUCGGAACCGCCCAGGUGCGACGGAAAGGUUGACGGACCAUCGAGCUUGCGACGGACCGUCGCAACCAAGGCAGUAACUCCCUCUUCUGUCCUAAGUGCAAUGGACAAGACGACAGACCAUCAAACUAGCGAUGGACCGUCGCUAAGACCGUCAUAAUUGAGGCAGUGUGGCCUUUUUCUGACCAACAUGCAACGGACGAUCCGACGGGCCAUUAGACCGGACCGUCGCUCAGACCAUCGCAAAUCCUGUUCAUUAUUUUUAAGUUAUUUUUAAAAGAACUUUUGGUCUUUUUCCCUUUUUAACACUUAGAUAUAUGCAAAACGAAGAAUAUAACUUCAUUAUCUCCCAAAAAAUCCAAAGGCUAGGGUUUCUUCCUCAAGAACAAACCCAAAACCCUUCUCCAAGAAAUUCAAGAAAUCACCAUAGAUUCUACAAAUUGAGUUGAGAUUCGAGUUCCCCAAGUCCAAGGCUUCAAGAACCCUCUCUCAAGAGUAAGAAGAAGAGUCUCCAGCAAGCUUGAUCAUCUAGUUUCACAAUCUAAAGAUAUGUGGGGUUUGAACAAGGACACCCCUUUCGUCCUUGUGCCCAAAAGUUGUUUUAAUUACAAAGAUAUAUGGUUUUACAGGUUUUUUAUGAAAUUGAAGUAUAGGUUUAUACCCUAUGUUAUUAUUUCUUCAGAUUAUGAUGGUUUCAAUGUUUUAGAAAUUGAAGUACAUGAGUAUGUUGAGAUUAUAAUGCAUAAUGCUGAAAAUUUCCAGAUUUCUAUAUGAUUUAUGAAUUUUUAUGAUAUUGAGUAUGAAUUUUGAUACGUCUUAACAUGAGAUUGAUAUAUGGGUCAUUAAGCUCUACUUGAGAUUGAAAUUUUAAGAAUUUUUGUGCUAUAAGCACCCAUCAUUUGAGUAUUUUGAGAUUAUUGAGAAAGUUUUGACCUUAAAGGUCAUAGUAGCUUUGAAAUCCACUUUACCAAAUGAGAUUACAAAUUUUAUAGUUGGGUUCUUAUGAACCAUGAGAUUAUUUUAAAGUGGAUUUCCAUGAGAUGAGCAUAGCUAACUAAAGGGAGUAGUAUUUAGAAUCGAGUUGGGUAAGUUACUAUGGUUUCAUACCCCAAAACUAUGUGCCACCGUAGGAUUGAGAUUUAUGGGCCCAAGGCCAAGAUAAGUGAUCACUAAGUUGAGGUUAUACUCCCUGGCAAGAGUAUGAUGCCUCUCCCCAACGUGAGGUUUCUUCCUUAGGAGUAUAAGACGUUGGACUCCAUGUAGCUCGCAUUUUGUAUGUCAGUUUAGAGAACCUCCCUGCUAGUAAACAGUGAAUAAACAACUUUUGAGUAGUUUUCCCUAAUAGUAAGAUUAUUAGAAUAGUUUCUUGAACUAAAAUUUUCCCAAGAAGGAAGUAGUUUUCUCUAUCAGUAAGAGUAAAUAAUUAGUUUUUAAAACCAAAUUUAUAUAAUUCCGAGUUCCAAGUAUCCUGAGUCUAAAGGAGUUCUAAGUUUUUAAGCAUUAAAAAAGUUUUACUCUCAAUGAGAUAUAUGCAUGAGUUGAAAGUAUUGUUUAAAGCUUUCUUCAGCCUUCGAGUAAUGAGAAUAAGAGGAGAGUACACAUUUUAAAGCUAAAGUAUAAUGACUCAUGAGAUUUAUGUUACAUGCUUCAUUCUACAUGAUUUAUGAGCUUAUUAUAUUAGACUUAUUCAAGCUAUGUGAGUCAUUCAUAUUUGCAUGCAUGAUUUUAUUAAAGAGUAUUGAUGUUGUUUUAUAUAAAUGCAUACACCCACAUAUACUCAGUACAUUCCCAUGAGUUGAUCCACAUAUACGUCUAUGUGUUAAAUUGUUUUAUAAUGUAGGUUCAGGUGCUCAGUCCCAGCCUCUUCAGUGAUUUCUGAGUACCUUUGUCUACAUCUCUACAGUGGUGAGUCCUUAUGGUUCGAGGACAUAUCUUCAGACAUUUCAGUAUUUUAGUAGAUAUAUUGUUGCUUUUAGUUCAGUUUUUGUCAGUUGGGGGCCUAUCCCAAUAGCUCUCUAGUCAUGGAGUAGUAGAGGCUUUGUCAGACUAGUUAUCAGAUUGUUAGUAUGUUGAGAUUUCUAGUAUUGCGGUUGUUUGGAGCAAGUAUUUUCUUUUUAUUUUCUAUUAUUUGAUACGACAGUGCUAGUGUUUUGUUUAUUUCUUCUCGAAAUAAGUUAUUUUAUGUCGUGACUCGCUCAAAGGGUUAGCUUGGGGCUACUUUUAGCCUUAAGCACUGUGUGACGUCCCGGGAGGAGAUAUAGGGUCGUUACACCAUGUGAUCAGCCAUCAACGUAUACGAUCAAUUGUUGACGUAGGUCACUAACCUUUUUUUAUUGUUGUAAAAGACCCAUUCUUUGGAUUUUAUCCUCUAUUUGCUCAUUUGCACCAUUUUAUCUAAUUGGGAGCUUGGGAGGGAGAUCUUGGGGGAUAUUUCUUGCAUAAGUUCAUGCGGGUAAAUUCGUAGCUCGAUUAUAAAUGAUUUCCUACCAAUUUUUUCAUCUAAAUUCUUAUAAAUCAAAGAGUUCAAAUGUAGGUUUUAGAGGUUUUCCCCCCUAUUUGAAAAUUUGAUAUUUCUUUGAUUUGAGCAUCUAGUCUUACUCUUUUUUUCUAGGGUUUUGACCCAUAGAACCCUUUUCAAUUGAAGAUUCUAAUUUUCAAAUAAGAUUUGAUUCUUACCCUUUUUUAUUUUUUUAUGGUUUUUUUUUUUUUUGCCUUAUGGUUCCCGUGAGGUUUUUCACCAAUAAUACUCUCAUUUUAAUUUCUCUCAACUUACCAUCGCCUUACGGUUCCUAUGAGGGUUUUCAUUCUUUUUUUUUUUUUUUUUUUGUUUUUUUUUUUUGGGGGGGGGGGGGGGAGGUGGGUUUGUUGGUAAAGCUUGAAAAAUGGAUUUUCUUCGAUUUGGACCUCAUUUUUAAUUCAUUCUUGUGUGUUUUUUUAUCUUGUAGACUCCUUCAGCCUUGGGAAAUAUGUUGUUAAAAAAUCUAUUUUUUCCACUUUGUUUUUUAACUCAAUUUUUGAACCUACUUUAGACUCGAACAAAAUAUAAAGAAGAAUGUGCCUCAUCCAAAAUCAACCUUACCCAUCCACCAACUCUUAGUACAUAAAAUCAUCCUUUAAUCCUCAAAACACCAUCGAAAUCAAGAGAUGUCACCUUAGCCUUGCCACUCAACACCUUAUCUCAAAACUAGUAAGCUCAAAUCUGCUCUAUCAAAGAAGAUCUAGCAUCAACAAUGGUUAAAACACGCUCGGGUGUCGAAAUAUCAAGCCUAACCAACUAAUUAGCCAAAUACAGAGCUUCUAAGGAUAAAGUCCCCUCGUGGUUCAAGAGAAGAGCAGUACUCUCCAUACUAGUAGAUUUUCGGAUCAAGGCAUCUUCAACCACAUUAACCAUGCCCAAAUGAAAAAUAAUAGUGAGAUCAUAAUACUUAAGCAUAUCAAGACAACACUGCUGACUCAUAUUAAGAUCUUGCUGGAUGAAGAAGUAUUGAAGGCUACAAUAAUCCGAGAACAAUCAAAUCAGCUUUACCAUUUAAAGUCCAUACAAAAAAUGAUUCUAUAGCUUCAACACAACUAUAACUGCUGAAAACUCCAAAUAAUAGGUGGGGUAAUUUUUCUCAUGAGGCUUCAACUGUCCAGAAGUAUAACCAUUCACCUUAACCUUCUGUAUCACACCCAAACCAAUACACGAUCAUCAUAGAACACGAUAAAAUCCACACCCUCCUGGGGCGAGGUCAAAUAUAAGCCAAAUUCAACAACUUUUUGAGCUUUUGGUAUCUCUUCUCAUAUGCAUUUGACUACUGAAAUACCACUUUUUUCUGAGGCAACAUAGUCAAAGGAGGUUCUAUUGGUGAGAAACCCUCUAUAAAGCACCGAUAAUAACCUGCCAAACCAACAAAACUCUAAAUCUCGAUAGGAGAACUAGGUCUAGCCCAAUCAUUAAUUAUUUUAGCUUGGCUGGAUUAACCAAUAUACCAUCCUUGGUUACCACAUUAAUCCUAAAAGAGAGUAUCCAACCAAAACUCACACUGGAAAACUUACCAUACAGCUUUUUAUCAUGCAAUCUCUGAAGUACAAUCCUCAAAUGCUUCACAUGGACAACCUCAUUAUUAGAAUAAACCAAGAUGUCUUCUACAAAUAUAAACAUAAAAGGGUUGAUAUACGAUCACCUCAGGGGAAUUGGUCAACCCAAAAGACAUGAACAAUAACUCAUAAUGACCCUAUAGAGUAUAUGAAGCCAUCUUUAAAGCAUCUGAAGCUCUAAUCUUUAACCGGUGAUAUUCGGGUCUCAAAUCAAUCUUAGAAAACACCAAAGCACCCUGGAGUUGGUUAAUAAGUUCAUCAAUCCAAGGAAGAAGAUACUUAUUCUUAAUUGCUACCUUGUUCAACUACCUAUAAUCAAUACACAUAUGCAUAGAACCAUUAUUUUUCUUUACGGACAAGACAAGUGCACCCUAAGGAGAUACAUAAGGUCUAAUGAACCCCAUACUCAACAAAUCUUGUAACUGCUCAUUUAAUUUCUUCAACUGUGUUGGGGACAUCCUAUAGGGAGGAAUGAAAAUGGGCUUGCUUCCCGGCUCUACAUCAACAACAAAAACAAUAUCACGAUCCAGAGGUAUACUAGGUAAAUAUGUAGAGAACACAUCCAUGAACUAGUAAACAACUCGAACAGAAUCCAUAGGAGGUGGCGACACAACACUAGUUCCACGAACAUAACAAAAAUAUGGCAAACACCCUCUCUAUACCAUGCGCAAGCAUGUAGAAAAGAUAUGACACCCUUCAUACCCGAAUUAAGCUUACCCUUCAAAGCUAGCCUUGGCACACUUGGUGUAGCUAAAUGAUAGUCUUUGCAUAACAAUCAUAAAUAGCAUGGUAAGGAGCUAACCAAUCCACACCCCAAAACAACGUCAAAAUAAACCAUAUAUUAGAUAAUAAAGUCUAUCAAAGUCUUACGGCCUAUAAAGGUAACCACACAAGAUUGGUAUACCCAAUUCAUUACUAAAUAAUCUCGUACGAGGGUAGAAAUAUGAAAAGGUAUAAAAAGAGGCUUGCAAGAAAAACCAAAUACAUAAGAAAAGUAUAUAGAUACAUAAUAUAAUAUAGACCUAGGGUCAAAUAACACAGAAGUAGAUCUGUAGCAAACUGGGAUAAUACUGGUAAUAACUACAUCAGAAGUCUCUACCUCGAAUAUCCAAGGUAUAGCAUAACACUGAGUAUCCCUAUGAAAACCUCAAUGAUCUCCCUCACCUCUACUUUUAGAACAUCUAACACUAUCCAUACCACUCUGCGAACCAACUCUCACUUCAAAUACUAGAGUAGGGUAAAGCUGAAGCUAAGAACCCUGCUAAGUGGGUCUGUAUUCAUGUUGAGGGAAAUCCUUGGCCACAUGGUGUAACUCAUCACAUACAAAAUAUCCUCUGUGGCCCAACUCAAUUUGAGUAGGUACGGAUGAACUAGAAUGACCAUCUUGUCCUGAAGAUCUAACCUUAGAUCUUUCACUCGCAUGACCUGAUGCACCUUUUUUGGUGCCUUCCUUAGUAUCCUAGAUAAUAGACUAUGUCAUCUUAUCAUUCUCAGUAAUACUCUAGGAAAAAAGCCUGUGAAACUACCAUCCGAGUUUUAGCCAAUUGAUAUGUACCAUCUAACCCCUUCACAAACUUUGGAAUCAUCUCAAACUCGAUAGAGAUACUUGUGACUAAAUAUUUGGAUAAGGUGUUGACACAUUCCUUAUAAUCGGUAAUAACAUGGAGCUCUGCUCCAAAAUAUAAAAACCAUCCCUUAUUUUGUCUCUCAAGCUAUUUGGUACAAACUUCUCUAAGAAGUCCUAAGAAAAUUAUGUCCAAGUCAUAGCAGGCAAACCUAAAGGCCUACUACAGGCAAGCAAUCUCCACCAAUCCCUAUCCACAUUUGUUAACUGGUAAAUAAUAGAAGAAACUCCAUAAUACUCAAAGGAUAAAAGAUUAUGUAACUUCUCCUGGGAAACAAUCAAACAAUCAUUGGCAUACUCACCAAUAUAUCCAAUAAACUUGGGUGGACCAAAGCGAAUGAACUUCUCAAAUCUUUUUUAUCAUCCAAAUUAAAGAAAAUCUAUUUUUUCAAGCAUUACUGGAAAAAACCCCAAAAAUCCAUUGAAAAUCAAAAAGAGUAAAGAUGGAAAUUUGAAAAUUUAAAACCUCAAGUGAAAAUGAUUCUAUGGGUGAAGACCCAAGCAAAAAUGAGUAAGAACUGAAGCUCAAAUUAAAGAAGCACCAAAGUUUCAAAUUUCAAAAAAACCCCAAAAACCAUCUUUUGAAAUUUUUGAUUUAGAAGAACUUAAAUGAUAAAGUUGGUAGGAAAUGAUUUAGAAUUGGGAUACGAACUUACCCGCACAAACAAACACAAGAAAUAUUCUCCAAAAUCCCCCUUCUAAGCUCGCAAUAUGAUAAAAAUGGUGCAAAUGAGAAAAAAUGGGAUAAAAUUGCAAAAUUGGGUUACUUUCGGCAAAGAAGAGGGGUUGUUGACCGCGCAUCGACCAUUGACCAUGUGUGUUUACCGUUGACCUGUAAUGACCACGGCAGCAACGUAAAAAAACUUAAGUUUUGUCCUGUGGGACUCAUUCGAAAUCCUAUGAACAUGAACCAAUAGUGUAAAUUAAUAAUAAAAGAUGUUCCACAUUUAAUGGAAUCAUUAGAUUUAUGAAUAAAUGGAUGUUCACAUCAAAUUAACAUCUGAGACUCCUUCAGGACAAAAUAUACUAUUUUUCAAUUGGAAGGCUGAAAUACAAAUAAAAGUUUCAAACCCAAACCAUCCAUGCUACAAUUCAAAAUUGAUGUUCCAGAUUUGUUAAUACAUUCCAUUUUUCCAUUCGACACUCGAAUAAAAAAAUAUAUACCGAGGUCAACUAUUGUCUUUGAAAUCCUCGAAUAACCUCAAACUCACCUAAAUCCUUCCCAAAGUUCUUGGGAACCAUGUUACCAUACCCAAAAUCCAAAUUCAGUAUUUAGAACUACCGAAACGGAUAAAAUAGCCAAAACACAUAAAAGAGAAAAUCACCAAAAUUCAAGUCUUUAUAGAUUCAUGUUUAGAUGAUCAACUACGAAAUCCAUACAUCUUGUGAGGAGAAUGAUGGUACAUACUGUAAAAGAAAGAGGGUCUUGUAUAUUAUUUUCAUUGACCAUGAGAUGGCCUACAACUAAGUUCCAAGAAAAGUCCAUUGGAGAUGUUUGGGGACUAGAGAUGUACUGGUGGUUUGAUUUAGGGAAAUAAAGGACAUGUAUGGUGGAAAAAAAUUAUGAAUUACAUAAGGAUACAAAGAGUACUUCCCUGUGAAAAUAGGAUUGCACAAGGUAUUAACUUUUAUCUCGUUCUUCUUUGUAUUGGUGAUGGAUGAAUUGAUGUGGUACAUUAAAGAUGAGGUUCUUUGGCGUAUGUUAUUUGUGAAUGACAUUGUACUUAUUGAUAAGACACAUAGUGGAGUAAAUGCUAGGUUGGAGUUAUGGAGACAAACCUUCGAAGCUAAAGGAUUUAGGUUGAUCUGGACUAGCUUAGAGUACUUAUAGUGCAAAUUUAGUGAGGGGAUGCAUGAGGAAAACGUGGAAGUAUGGUUGGACACAUAGGCUAUCCGCUAGAAUAAUAGUUAUAGGUAUCUUGGGUUUACAAUCAAGGGUAGUAGCACAAUUGAUAACGGUUUCAAGCAUCUUGACUUCAGAGUCUUGUGUGAUUAAAUGAUACCACCGAGAGGUAAAGAUAAGUUUUAUAGAAUGGUGGCUAGAUCGGUGUUUUUUUAUGGGGUAGAAUAUUGGCCAGUCAAAAACUCUCAUGUUCAGAAGAUGCAUAUUGUGGAUAUGAGGAAGUUGAGUUUGAUAUGUAAGAAUACUAGUGUUCAUAGGAUCAAAAUAAGGUUUUCCAAUAUGAGGUGAGAGUGUUCUUCAUUGUGGACAAUAUGAGGAAUGCGAGAUUGAGAUGGUUUGAUCAUAUGAAGAGAUGAGGUGUAGAUGUCAUAGUGAGGUGGUUUAGGAGUUUGGAUUUAGCAGUCACAAUGAGAGGUAGAGUUAGGCUGAGAAGUAUUAGGGGAGAUGUAUAGACUAGGUAUGGUCUAACUUCAAGUUACUGAGGACAUGACCAUAGAUAGGAGAUGCGAAAGACUUGUAUUAGCAUAAAAGGUAAUCAGAUAGGAGUCUUGUGUUGAUUUUUGAGGGUUUAGGCUUGAAUGGUGUUUCUCGUACACUAGACAAAGUAUAGCAGUUUAGGGUUUAAGCAGUAGAGAAUGAGGUGGAGUUGAUCCCUACUUGUGAUAUCUAUAAUAGUUUGAUAUUCAUUAUGUUUGGACUAUCAUGCUAUUUGUUUUUAUUAUUUUUUUAUUCUUUUAGACUUUGAAAUGUCCCCUUCUUAGUUGUUAUAAUUUCUGCAUUGUUUUCUUCUUAUUAUUACCAUGAUUUACUGUACAUGUGUUGAUGGUCUUUUGAAAACAGCCUCUCUGCCUACUGGAGGUAGAGGUAAGGUCUGCAUACACUGUACCUACUCUAGACUUCAUUUGUGGAAUUUCACUAGGUAUGUUAUUUGUGGUGUUGAUGUUGGUGUUUUCAUGACAUAAUUCUAUAACGGGGCAAUAUAAUUUAUAAUUAGUUGCUUAAUUUGGUGUUUUCCUCAAAAUUAGGAAAAUAUAAAAAUACUUUAUCCUUCAUAUUUCUUUGAUGAAAAAUAAGAAAGUCAAAUUGAAAAAUAAUUUUCUCUUCCAUAUUUAUUUCAAGUAAUUAUACUACUUUAUAUAAGACCUCAAAUAAUGUCAUACAACAAGAAAAAUUAAUCCUUUCUAAAUUAUGAUGGAGAUCUUAGACAAUAUAUCCUAAAUACUCAAAAUAAGUGCCUAUCAUUUAUUUAGCUAAUUUUAAUAUGUUUAUACCUUACCAAUCAUAUUUUGUUUAUUUCAAGAUAAAAAAAAUGUUACGAUUUAAUUUUUAUAUAAUUAUGUUGAUCAGAUCAAUUUUAUAUGAUGAUGUGUACAUGAUAUGUCAUAUUUCUAUAACGUCUUAUAAAGUAUAAUUGUUAUUUGUUCCGGUCUCAAAUAAAUAUGCUAUCUAAACCAUAUUAUGUGAAUUGUUGGAAAUCUUUUUAUAGUUUAAAAUAUCUAAAUUUUUGAAUGUUCAAGAGAAAUGUUAGAAUUUUUUUUCUUAUUUACCCUUUCCCUUUCUUUUAAUGAAGUUCAUAACUAUUUUAUAUUUUCUUGAAAAAUAAAUUGAAUAUGAUCAAAAAAGUAAUAGUAAACAAUAACCUUUAAUUCAUAAUCUUAAAUAUAUUUUUUUGCUUAAUGGAUAUACUAUACCCUAACAAUUCACCUAAUAUGGUCUAGAAAAAGUAUAUCUUUUUCGUAACUUAAUUCAAUGAUAGAGGGAAAAUAAUUAAUAGCUGCCUAAUUUGGUGUUUUCCCUUCAAAUACACACACACACAAAAAAAAGAGAAAUAAUAAACCAUUAAACUCAAAUUGAAAAAUAGAAUUUUCCAUUUAUUAACAUUUUUAUUUUUUUUUAAUUUUUUGUGAAAUGUGUAUGUGGCAUUAGGAAAUAAAAUACAGAAAACAUCUCAUUUAAGCAAUUACCUUGACUGUGUUUUUGUUUCUUUCCCCUACCAUUUUCCUAUUUAUGCAUAUCUUCCCUAAUGUUUUCUCUCAUCCCAAUUACAUUUAUAGACUAAAAAUGGUGCGAAGGCCACAUAAGUGCACAGAGUUGUUGAGAAGGUGCAUUACAAGGAAGUCCAGAAGAGUUAGUUGGGGAGACACACACAAAGAUACCGAUACUAGGAAAGAAUAAAUGGUUAGGUACAUUUGAUACGGCAGAUCUGGCUUCAACGACAUAUAAUGCAACGUCGAUUAAGUUCCAUAGUGUUAGAGCAAAGACCAAUUUUUUUAUUCUGAUGGGCGAUGAGAAUUGAGAGUUUAGAUCAGUUCUGUAGAGUCAUUGAAUGCGGUGACUGUGGCGAUAUUGAUAGUUGAAUAGCCAACUUAAAUGAAUCUAAGCCUCGGAAGUAGUUAGAUCCAUUGGAGGUGGUGAUUCAACCAUCAAUGCCGCCACAAUCACCGCAUUCGAUGACUCUAUAGAACCGACCUAACUACCAAUUUGAUUCAGAUCACCCAUCAGAAUAAAAAAAUAGUUCUUUGCUAUAACACCACCAAACUUAGUCACCGCUGCAUCAUAUACUAUCACAGCCAGCUCCACCAUGUCGAAGGAACAUAACCAUUUAUUCUUUCUUAGUAUCGAUAUCUCCUAUGUGUAUCUCCCUGACUCUUCUGAACUCCUCAGUAAAGCACCUUCUCAAAAACUAUAUUCACUUUCUUUGCCCUUGGUGCCAUUUUCACUCUAUGAAUGUAAUUAGAAUGAGAGAACAUGUAUGGGGAUGAGGUGCUUAAAUAGAAAAAUGGUAGGGAAAAUAAACAAAAACACAGUCAAGGGAGCUUCUUAAAUUUGAUAUUCUUCUGUAUUUUAUUUCCUAAUGCCACAUACGCAUUUCAUAAAAAGAAAAAAAAGGUCAAUAAAUGGAAAAUGUUAUUUUUUAAUUUGAGUUUAAUGGUUUAUUAUUUCUCAUUUUUUUGGAUCUUGAGGGAAAACAUUAAAUAAGGCAGUGAUAAAUUAUUUUUCCUCUAUCAUUGAAUUAAGUUAUGAAAAAGAUAUUCUUUUUCUAGUCCUUAUUAAGUGAAUUGUUAGGAUAUAACAUAUUCAUUAAGAAAAAAAUGAAUAUAUUUAAGAUUGUAAAUUAAAGGUUAUUAGUAUUACUUUUUUUUUCAUUCUCAAAAUAUUAUUCUAGAAAAUAUAAAAUAGUUAAGAAUUUCAAUAAAAGAAAGGGUAAAUAUGAAAAAGAUUGUAACAAGUCUCUUGAACCUUGAAAAAUCAGCUAUUUUGAACUGUAAAAAGAGUUCCAACAAUUCCCUUAAUAUGGAUUAGAAGAGUAUUUAUUUGAGACCAGAAUAAAUAAUAAUUAUACUUUUCAUUGAGUAAGAGCAAAUGACAUAUAAUGUACACAUCAUCGGGUAAAAUUAAUUUGAUCAUGGAGUUUCCGUGUCAAUCAUAGGGUCAUUUAUAAAAUUGAUGAAAAUCUACAUCAUUUGACCCUAAGGAAGUAUCCCUGGCGAAAGAAAAUCCCUAACAGAUGGCUCUUAUUGUUUGAAUUUUUGAAGAAUUAUAGGCAGAGAGAACAAAUAGAGGUGGUGAAAUGGAGAAAACCUGCACAAGGAUAGUAUAAGUGCAACACUAAUGGCACUUCAAAAGGAACCCUGGAGCAAGCUCCAUAACUUUUUGUAUUAGAAAUGAUGAGGGUGAUUUGGUUUAUGCUUCAUGUAAACAGACUCAAGAAAAUACAAGCAUUUAUGUAGAAGCACUAGCCAUAAUAGAAGGAUGUAGUUAAUAUGUUGAGCAUCAUUUAUUGCCUUUAGAGAUUGAAACUAACUCAUUUACACUGGCUAAGAUGGUAAAAGGGGGAUGGGAGGUUCCUUGGAGCAUAAUAGGAAUCAUUACAAGAAUUCAACAAAUGAUGGAGGAUGAAUUAAUCAAAGUACAAUAUAUCUACAGAGAAUGAAACUCACUGGCAGAUUGUUUGGCUAACUUGUGUUUUAGUUUUGCAGGUACAGUUAACUUUAACACUUUCAUGGAGCUACCUAGAAAAGCUAAGGCAAUUACUAUACAAGAUAAGAAGCAGAUUCCACAUAUUAGAGUCGGGAAGAUGAGACAACAAGCACCAGAUUAAGACAGGAUCUUAAUUCAUCACUCAAAACUUCCAAGGACAGUAAGGUAAUCACACAGGGGAGGCUCAAAAGAACCACGAAGUGUAAACACAAAGGCUGAUUUGGAAUGUACAGGUUAAUAAAGGGAUUUCAAAUGUUACUAUGUCUCGUCGAUUUGCUUCAACUAAUGUUAAGGUGGUAUUAAUCUCUAAGAGGUUCAUUACUUUGCAAAGGAAGAAGUAAAUCUAUAAACUACUAAUAUUCAUUUUCUUAGAAAAAUUGGAGAUUUAUCUAAAUGAAUUAACAUAAAUUUAAGUACUUGGAGUUAUAUUCCAUUGGAAUCGAUUUCAGAACACUCGAUUCAAAGCUACUUACUAAAAUUAUGUUACAUUCAAUUAGAUAGAUCCAAUUUCUUAAUAAGAUGUAAUGGUACACUGCAAAAAAGAUUCAUUUAUGGAGGUUAUUUUGUCGAUUAGUGGCAGCCUCGGAUCCCCACAAAAUAAAUUGUGGCGGUUUUAAAAAAUUCUACAAUAUGCCUUGCCACGAGCAAUUUUGUGGCAGUUUUUUAAAACCUCCCUAACAUCUACCACAAAGUAAAAUUUUAUUUUAUGGCGAUUUUUAAAGCAAUUAAUGACAUUUUUUAACACCCAUAAUAUAAUUCUAAUAUGUUAAAAAUAAUAAUUUGUGGGGAUUUAUGACCCCCUCAAUUUACACAACUUUUUUCUUUAAAAAAAAAAACAAUAAUGGUAGUUUAUAACUGUCAUUAUUUCUUUGUUGAAAAUCAUCUUUUUCUGUUUAAAAUUUUUAAUUUUGAAAUUCAAUAAAUAAUUUUACUAGAUGACUAAUAUGACAUGAAGUAAAUUCCAAUAUCAAUAUCCAUAGCAACAAACAUUACCAAUUCAGAUCCACAUCAAACUAAAGUUAUACAACCACAUAUAUGAUGACUUAAAACAUUACCUAAUAUAGUAGGUAGCUCUGUG